rnacentral:rRNA from 1 species
GACGAACGCUGGCGGCGUGCUUAACACAUGCAAGUCGAACGGAAAGGCCCUGCUUUUGUGGGGUGCUCGAGUGGCGAACGGGUGAGUAACACGUGAGUAACCUGCCCUUGACUUUGGGAUAACUUCAGGAAACUGGGGCUAAUACCGGAUAGGAGCUCCUGCUGCAUGGUGGGGGUUGGAAAGUUUCGGCGGUUGGAGAUGGACUCGCGGCUUAUCAGCUUGUUGGUGGGGUAGUGGCUUACCAAGGCUUUGACGGGUAGCCGGCCUGAGAGGGUGACCGGCCACAUUGGGACUGAGAUACGGCCCAGACUCCUACGGGAGGCAGAGGUGGGAAAUAUUGCACAAUGGGCGGAAGCCGGAUGCAGCAACGCCGCGUGCGGGAUGCCGGCCUUCGGGUUGUAAACCGCUUUCGCGUGUGACGAAGCGUGAGUGACGGUAAUGGGUAAAGAAGCACCGGCUAACUACGUG